UAAAUAGCCCCGAUUUGACAG
rnacentral:miRNA from 1 species